CAUGCUAGAGCACUUUUUCAAUGGGCUCCCCAAUGACAAGGCGACGACGCAUUCAUAUGUCAAGACAUAUCAACUUUCGAUGCCAUUUACUGCACCUACCAUGGUGACCACGGGUAAUGGGGAAUCAGGGUUCGAUUCCGUACAGGGACCCUGACAAACGGCUACCACAUGCAUGGAAGGCCG